rnacentral:rRNA from 1 species
UACAGAGGUCCCGAGCGUUGUUCGGAUUCACUGGGCGUAAAGGGUGCGUAGGUGGUGAGGUAAGUCGGAUGUGAAAUCUCCGGGCUCAACCUGGGAACUGCAUUUGUGACUGCAUCGCUGGAGUGCGGCAGAGGGGGAUGGAAUUCCGCGUGUAGCAGUGAAAUGCGUAGAUAUGCGGAGGAACACCGAUGGCGAAGGCAAUCCCCCUGGGCCUGCACUGACGCUCAUGCACGAAAGCGUGGGGAGCAAACAGG